rnacentral:rRNA from 1 species
CCCUACGGGGCGCAGCAGUAGGGAAUCUUUCACAAUGGGCGAAAGCCUGAUGGAGCAACGCCGCGUGGGUGAAGAAGGUCUUCGGAUCGUAAAACCCUGUUGUUAGAGAAGAAAGUGCGUGAGAGUAGCUGUUCACGUUUCGACGGUAUCUAACCAGAAAGCCACGGCUAACUACGUGCCAGCAGCCGCGGUAAUACGUAGGUGGCAAGCGUUAUCCGGAUUUAUUGGGCGUAAAGGGAACGCAGGCGGGCUUUUAAGUCUGAUGAGAAAGCCUUCGGCUUAACCGGAGUAGUGCAUUGGAAACU